GCUGGCGGCAGGCCUAACACAUGCAAGUCGGACGGUAACAGGAGAGAAGCUUGCUUUUCUUGCUGACGAGUGGCGGACGGGUGAGUAACGCGUGGGAAUCUACCCUUUAGUUGGGGACAACAUAUGGAAACGUAUGCUAAUACCGAAUAUGCUCUACGGAGUAAAGGUGCCCUCUCCUUGGAAGGUAUCGCUAAAGGAUGAGCCCGCGUUAGAUUAGCUAGUUGGUAGGGUAAAGGCCUACCAAGGCGACGAUCUAUAGCUGGUUUGAGAGGAUGAUCAGCCACACUGGGACUGAGACACGGCCCAGACUCCUACGGGAGGCAGCAGUGGGGAAUAUUGCACAAUGAGGGAAACCUUGAUGCAGCCAUGCCGCGUGUGUGAAGAAGGCCCGAGGGUUGUAAAGCACUUUCAAUUGUGAGGAAGAUUAAGUAGCUAAUACCUGCUUAGUUUGACGUUAACUUUAGAAGAAGCACCGGCUAACUCUGUGCCAGCAGCCGCGGUAAUACAGAGGGUGCAAGCGUUAUUCGGAAUUACUGGGCGUAAAGCGCGCGUAGGCGGACUGUUAAGUCGGUUGUGAAAGCCCUGGGCUCAACCUAGGAACUGCAUCCGAUACUGGCAAUCUAGAGUUUAAGAGAGGGAAGUGGAAUUCCAGGUGUAGCAGUGAAAUGCGUAGAUAUCUGGAGGAACAUCAGUGGCGAAGGCGACUUCCUGGCUUAAAACUGACGCUGAGGUGCGAAAGCUUGGGUAGCGAACGGGAUUAGAUACCCCGGUAGUCCAAGCCGUAAACGAUGUCAACUAGCUGUUGGUCUUAUUAAAAAGAUUAGUAGCGCAGCUAACGCGAUAAGUUGACCGCCUGGGGAGUAC
rnacentral:rRNA from 1 species